GAAAUGCGAUAAGUAGUGUGAAUUGCAGAAUUCAGUGAAUCAUCGAAUCUUUGAACGCACAUUGCGCCCCUUGGUAUUCCAUGGGGCAUGCUUGUUCGAGCGUCAUUUGUACUCUCAAGCUUUGCUUGGUGUUGGGUGUUUGUCUUUUCCACCGCGAUUGGACUCGCCUUAAAUUCAUUGGCAGUCAAUGUAUUGGUCUUGAAGCGCAGCACAAUUUGCGAUUUAAGCUGAUGACGGUUGGCGUCCAUUAAGCGUAUUUAACACUUUUGACCUCGGAUCAAGUAGGGAUACCCGCUGAACUUAA
rnacentral:misc_RNA from 1 species